rnacentral:sRNA from 1 species
GAAAGCGUUGCCGCAGGCAACGACCCGAAGGGCGAAGCGCGCAGCGCUGAGUCAACCUUCCCCCACCACCA